rnacentral:misc_RNA from 1 species
UUUCCGUAGGUGAACCUGCGGAAGGAUCAUUAUUGUAUAACCGAGGUGCGAGGGCUGUCGCUGACCCGAAAGGUCGUGCACGCCCGAGUGCCCUCACACAAAUCCAUCUCACCCCUAUGUGCACCACCGCGUGGUUCCCCCUUUGGCUUGUUCGGAGGGGGGGUUACUUUUUCACACAAACUUUGUAUGCAGUUUAGAAUGUAUUUUUUGUUUUUGCGAUCACGCAAUAAAUACAACUUUCAACAACGGAUCUCUUGGCUCUC